rnacentral:lncRNA from 1 species
UGUAGCACAGCGGGAGGUGGCAAAAGAGGAGAUGCUAUUUGCAUAAAGUGUUUCUGGUAAAGAGAUAGAAACAGAAGAAUAGAAUAAAAAGGGCCCUUUUCUCCUAUGUUACUGGCUUCAGGGAAUAUAUUUCAUACCAAGAAAAGGAAUGGAUAGAACUGAGAUCGUAGGAUUGACUGCUGCAGCGAACAUUGUUUAUGUGCCAACAUCCACAGUAUACAAAUGAUACGGCCAUGGGACCCGGAUGGAAAAUGCAGUGAGCACUAGGAGACAGUCCCCGGCCCCAGAGCUCGCAGCCUCUGGAAGCAAACACACAGCCCAGGUGAGAAAGCAAAGGUCCACAGAAGGAGAUGGCGUGCCCUGCCAAAUUCAGUUUUCCUCUGCUACAAGCCACAAUUCUAUAUACAAACCUCGGUAAAAGAAGAAAAGCAAUACUUCUCCUGCCUACUGCACAGACUUAUACUGAGUGAAGAGGUGAAUUUGCAGGAUGAAGCUAGAAAGCUGAGUCCAUCAUCUGAGAAGAAAAGGUCGAAGAAGGCCAAGGACAGAUCCUUCAAAUCCUUGGAGCUCUACAACGUUUAAGGAUGUUGCAGAGAAAGAAAUGCCAGUUAAGGGACUGAAGAGAAGGCAACGAGGUCAGAGGAAAAUUGGGUGAAUGUGAUAUCCUUGGAGGCCUAGAGCAGAAGGUAUUACAAGAAAGAGGGUGUGAUCGGCUGAGUCAAAUGCUGGGCAGAAUUUGAAUGAGAUGAAUACAGCAAGCCGACUAUUGGAUUCAGGCAAGACAGAAGUUAUUGGUGAGCUUAAACAGCCCAGUUUCAGAGCUCAGAGAUGGAGACCAAAACCCAAUAGGAAUGGUUUGAGGAGAAGAUGGGAUGUGAGGAAGUAAAGCCAGUGAGUAUAGACAACUCUUUUGAGG